AACCUCCGCAAUGUGAGAAAUCGCGACGGGGGGAUCCCAAGUGCCAUUCUUAACGGGAUGGCUUUUCAUUAGUGUAAAGAGCUUUUGGAAUAAGGGCUGGGCAAGACCGGUGCCAGCCGCCGCGGUAACACCGGCAGCUCUAGUGGUAGCAGUUUUUAUUGGGCCUAAAGCGUCCGUAGCCGGUUUAAUUAGUCUCUGGUGAAAUCCUGUAGCUUAACUGUGGGAAUUGCUGGAGAUACUAUUAGACUUGAGACCGGGAGAGGUUAGAGGUACUCCCAGGGUAGAGGUGAAAUUCUGUAAUCCUGGGAGGACCGCCUGUUGCGAAGGCGUCUAACUGGAACGGUUCUGACGGUGAGGGACGAAAGUUAGGGCGCGAACCGGAUUAGAUACCCGGGUAGUCCUAACCGUAAACGAUGCGGACUUGGUGUUGGGGUGGCUUUGAGCUGCUCCAGUGCCGAAGGGAAGCUGUUAAGUCCGCCGCCUGGGAAGUACGGUCGCAAGACUGAAACUUAAAGGAAUU
rnacentral:rRNA from 1 species